AGUGAACGCUGGCGGUAGGCCUAACACGUGCAAGUCGAACGGCAGCACAGUAAGAGCUUGCUCUUACGGGUGGCGAGUGGCGGACGGGUGAGGAAUACAUCGGAAUCUACUUUUUCGUGGGGGAUAACGUAGGGAAACUUACGCUAAUACCGCAUACGACCUACGGGUGAAAGCAGGGGAUCUUCGGACCUUGCGCGAUUGAAUGAGCCGAUGUCGGAUUAGCUAGUUGGCGGGGUAAAGGCCCACCAAGGCGACGAUCCGUAGCUGGUCUGAGAGGAUGAUCAGCCACACUGGAACUGAGACACGGUCCAGACUCCUAUGGGAGGCAGCAGUGGGGAAUAUUGGACAAUGGGCGCAAGCCUGAUCCAGCCAUACCGCGUGGGUGAAGAAGGCCUUCGGGUUGUAAAGCCCUUUUGUUGGGAAAGAAAAGCAGCAGGUUAAUACCCCGCUGUUCUGACGGUACCCAAAGAAUAAGCACCGGCUAACUUCGUG
rnacentral:rRNA from 1 species